rnacentral:misc_RNA from 1 species
GCAUCCGCGGAGACAAGUGUCAUAUACCUUGAUGGACUAGAUCCAUAUCGCUACGUAGAGUAAAAAAAAAGACAUCCACCGAGGGAAGGGUGUCUGGCUAUGUUUUACAUCAGUAGGUAUGCCUGUGUGUUUAUGUAAUGAGGCGCUCAGUCAUCUGAGCGUAGACUACACUUAGCGCCCGCACUGGGCCCAGUGAGACACGGCGAAACGUAACCGUGUCCACAGACUGUGUGCACCGGGCGGUUUAAUAGUGCUAUCGUACCCCGACAGCACUUCGGACUGGAGAAAAUAGCAGCGACGCACUUUCUGGCGUGGGUCACUCAACGCUAUACCUGCAAUCUUCACACGACUCACCUGCUCGGAAAGUACAAUUUGUGGCGUGGCGUGUUGUCAUUUUAAGGAUCGUCGUAUAUCUUUAGAUUUUGCAAUACGAUGAGCAGACGGGUUGCUGUAUCAUUGAUAAACCCGUACGUAUCUUAUUAGAUUUACAGAUUGUUUGACUUAUAGCGAUAUUUCAAAUGUAGACCAUAACGAUAGACGUGCGAUGCCCUGCGUACACCGGACUGUCACUAAAUGGUACAGUAUUUCAAAUCUAAAGGGAUAGGGUCCGAAUAAUGGUGGCUCAGCAAAUGUUGAACAACGGCACCAACGGAUGGGUCAACGGACCGAUCUCUUGCGACGGCUGGCAGCAAGCCCAGCACGCUGUCUACCAACUCGGCUGCUUCAUCAUCGUCAACGGGUUCCUGGUGCCGCCCACGGUGGGCAUCUACCAGGCCCUCUGGCUCCGCGUCUGCCUGGUGCUGGGCCUCUUCUGCCACGUGCUGUGGGCCGGGCCCGCGCUCUGCUGGCCCGACGGCCUGGCCUGGCAGCUGGCUGCCUUUCUCGCCAACGUGGCCCACCUCGUCUACCUAACCUACCUGACCUACCCUGUGACCUUCGACGAAGACGUCCAGAAGGUCUACGAGGCCCUCUUCAAGCCCUUCAACGUCUCCCGACAACAGUUCCGCGUCAUGCUGGAGAGUGGCGGCGACAUUUACGAGCUGGACCGGACGGGACACUACGCCACAGAGGGCCGUACCAGAACAGAUAGGGUUCUGUCACUGCUGAUAUCAGGAAGGAUGCGAGUUACGGCCCGAGGUAAAUUUCUACAUCACAUCUACCCAACGCAGUUCCUGGACUCGCUGGAAUGGCAGGGCUGUCGGUCCAAUUGCGGACCGUCCACUUUCCAGGUGACGGUGACCGCUGACAUGGACUGUCGUUACAUACAGUGGCAGAAGAAAGCUCUGGACAAGUUUCUGCGGAAAGAAGGCUUUAUGCGGGCUGUCUUUGAGACCACUGUGGGUAAAGACAUCACCACCAAACUCUACUCCAUCAACGAAGAGCCAGAGAGCCCGUCCGCGCCCAAGACCCCGAGGGUCGCCAGGACGAGCAUCCGCACCGCAGAACAGCGCCUGAGCGUGCCGGAGAUUGCCGAGAUAUGCCUACCAGACGACGAAGAGGAGGACCGUGGCCUGCUCUCCCACAAAUGGGAACGGGCGAUGUCGUUGGACGAGGAAUCGGCCGGUAGUUUUGGGAUGGUUGGCGUUGGUGGUGGUGCGGCAGCACUUCGGCACGCCCCUGGAGGGACGAGCCAGCUGACCGUGCCCGGAUCCGGGAGCAUGGUCAGCCUGCACUCGGCGCGUUCCAUGGUGGACAUCCGGGCCAGCAUCGCGUCUGGGAGGGGGGCCGACGUCACCGGCCGGUCCAGCCUCACGCCUGGCUCGGCCGGCGACAGGUCGUCCCGGGUCAACAGUCUGACGUCACACACCAGCGGUACACCAAGCAGUUUGCGAAGAGUUCAUUAGUGCAUGGUAUCACCUGCGCAUGCGCAAACAUCGUCCACUUCCAUCUCAUCAUGAGCCAAUGCUAACGGACUCCGGCUCAAAGAGGAGCAGCUUCCAGUCCGAUCACGGCCCUUUCCCGGCACCAGACCGAGGGGAAACACAC